UAUCUAUUGAUACAUGAUCAAAAAUAUUAUAAAAAUGAUAGGUCACCGUGCAUUUUCUCAAGCUAUAGGUUGUGACAAAAUGACACAUUUUGUAUGGAUUAUACAGGAAAAAACACCAUUUUGUGAAUAAAAACUAAACAAAAUGAUAGAAUUGUAAAAUAAAUUAGGAAAAGAUUGCUUUCAGACAAUGGUUUGAGAAUAUCAAAAGAAAAGAUAGGGUCACCGUACGUUUUUUCCGGCUAAAAGACAAAAUAGGAAAAUUUCAUGUAGAGUCCUUCAGAAAAUGCACUGUUAUAGAGUUACCUCCCCUUACAAUGCCAAUUUGAAAAAAUAUUCAAAAACAACCAAAAUUAAUCUACAUUUGUAAAAAUAUUAAUAUUUCUAAGUAAUAUUCUUAUAAAUUGGUUCUUUUAAAUGAAAAUUCACAUUAAACUCUGCAUUCCUGCAUCAAAUUUUGAUAAUUU
rnacentral:lncRNA from 1 species